CCUGACAAGAGUUCUGCAGCGGUCAAUAAUUAUUAACCAGCAUUUAGUGGGGCAAUCCCCAAUACUGUUGCUGAGUGAUAAAGAGUGCUUGCCUGCUGCA